rnacentral:rRNA from 1 species
UACGUAGGGGGGCAAGCGUUGUCCGGAUUUAUGGUGCGUAAAGAGCGUGUAGGCGGCCAAACAGGUCAGCUGUGAAAACUCGAGGCUCAACCUCGAGACGUCGGUUGAAACCGUUUGGCUAGAGUCCGGAAGAGGAGAGUGGAAUUCCCGGUGUAGCGGUGAAAUGCGCAGAUAUCGGGAAGAACACCCGUGGCGAAGGCGGCUCUCUGGGACGGUACUGACGCUGAGACGCGAAAGCGUGGGGAGCGAACAGG